rnacentral:rRNA from 1 species
UACGGAGGGUGCUAGCGUUGUUCGGAAUCACUGGGCGUAAAGGGCGUGUAGGCGGUCUGUUAAGUCUGAUGUGAAAUCCCCUCGCUCAACGAGGGAACUGCGUCGGAUACUGGCAGACUCGAGUACCGGAGAGGAAGGUGGAAUUCCCGGUGUAGCGGUGAAAUGCGUAGAUAUCAGGAGGAACACCGGUGGCGAAGGCGGGUCUCUGGGCAGUAACUGACGCUGAGGAGCGAAAGCGUGGGGAGCGAACAGG